UACGGAGGGUGCAAGCGUUAUCCGGAUUCACUGGGUUUAAAGGGUGCGUAGGUGGCUUUGUAAGUCAGUGGUGAAAUGCCGGAGCUCAACUCCGGAACUGCCAUUGAUACUGCUUAGCUUGAAUCAAGUCGAGGUGGAUGGAAUAUUACAUGUAGCGGUGAAAUGCUUAGAUAUGUAAUAGAACACCGAUUGCGAAGGCAGUUCACUAGGCUUGUAUUGACACUGAGGCACGAAAGCGUGGGGAUCAAACAGG
rnacentral:rRNA from 1 species